rnacentral:tRNA from 1 species
GGGGUAUCCCCCUUCAGCUGGCCUUCCAAGCCAGAAGUCCCGGGUUCAAAUCCCGGCG